UUUACGUCUUAACUUUUACGUCUUCGCUUUUACAUCCGCCAUUUUUACCCUUUGAAUAUUCCGGACUUCGUUGUCUUACUUCCAGACAAUCUGAAGCUCCAUGGGCCAAAUAUCAACUAUAUCAAAUAUUAACGAUAGAAAAAAAAGAAGGAAAGAACAGUUGAAUCUCAUACAGCAUUUCACAAACACUGGAAUGAAAUUUUGGUUGUCCAGAUGUGAAUUUUAUACAAGACGAAUAAUAAGGUGUGUUUUCGUGCAAUAAACGAGAACGAUUAGUCAUAACAUCUUUACAUGCAAGUGACAGCAAAAAUAUCGCUAUGUCUUUGUUAUUUGAUAAAAGUAUGGGGAAAAAAAAGAUAUCUGUAGACAGUAGAUUGGAUGUUUAAAACACAGACUUGAAAUAUCAGCUCUAUACUAAUAUAGUAUACGAAUAUACUAUGUAGACGUGCAUGGCUUAGUGGUUAGGUGCUGCAUUCAUGGUCGUGGGAUGAUGGUUUCGAUUUCUUUACCGGUUGAUGCGUUGUGUUCUUGAACAAAAUAUUACAUUGCCAGCUCAUUCAGUUGGCAAAAACGUGUAACUGUACGACAAACCGGGGUUCUGUCCAGAUGAGGAAUACAUACGCCAGAGAAGCCAAGGAAACCGGUCUUAAGAACUCUGGCUCGGGAUGGACAUUUGAUGUUCUCGUUUUCUUUGAUACUAAAAUACUAAGAAAAUAAAAAUAUUGAAGAAAUAUGUAUUAA
rnacentral:lncRNA from 1 species